GAAAAGAUUAAAAUAAGCACAAAAAGAAAAGAGGUUGCAGAUAAGACAAACUAUGUGUUUGAAAAAGUUUUACAUGAUAAAGUAUGCUGUAGAAUAUGAAGUUAAGAGGAAGGGAUAAAGUAGGAAGUAUGAGGAGUCAAACAUGAGGCAUAAAACAUAAAUGGAUAGAUAUUUAUCUAUCUGAUAAAUUAAAAUUACUGAUUUUAGUCAGAAAGCAACCACUAAAAAUAAAUAAAAAAGAAGUAUAUCUAUGAAAACAGAAAAGGUAAUUUAAUGGAGCACUAAAAUAAUUGUUUGAAGAUCAUAAUGAGAUGAAGUUAGAAAUCAACAGCAAGAAAAAUAACAGAAACCACCACAUAAACACAUGCAGAUUGAAAAAUACUCUCUCAAAGGAAGAAUGGAUCAAAGAAUAAAUGAGAAUAAAAAUCAAGAAAUUCUUAGGAAGGAAUGAGAACAGAUACAACAUCAAAACCUGAGGGAGAGUAUGAAAUGGUUCUAAGAGGAAAAUUUAUAGCACUAAGUACCUACAUAAAAAAUAGAGAAAUUUCAAAUAAAUAAACUUGUGUUAUACCUCAAGACCUUAAAAAAGAGCAACCUAAUGCCAAAACCAGUAGAAGCUAAGGAGUAAAUAAGAUCAGAGCUGAAAUCAAUUAAAUUGAGAAUAGGAAAACAAUAUAUAGGAUCAGAGCAACAAAGAGUUGAUUCUUUGAAAAAAAUGAAUAAGAUUGACAAAACUUUAGCCAAACUAACCAGAAGAAAGUGUGAGAAACAAAUCAACAAGAUCACAAAGAAAGAGGAGAUCUUACACAGACUCUUUUGAAAUCCAAAGGAUUAUCAGAACCUAUUUUGAAAAUUUAACUUCAAUAAACUGAAAAAUCUGGAAGACAUUCACAAGUUUGUAGAUACAUAUGACCUGCCUAAAUUGAAUCAGGUAGAUAAAGAACACCUAACCAGACCAAUAUCAAGUAAUGAAAUUAAAAUAGCAAUUAAAAUCCUUCCCCCAAAAAGCCCAGGACCUGAUGCUUUCUCAGCUGAGUUCUACCAGACCUUUACAGAAGAACUAACACCAAUCUUUCUCAAAUUACUCAUGAAAUUGAAAGAGAGACAACACUCACAAAUAUAUUCUAUGAAGCCAGUGUAACCCUGAUACCAAAACCAGACAAAGGCACAUCAAGGACAGAAAACUACAGACCAAUAUCUCUUAUGAACAUGAAUGCAAAAAUAUUUAAUAAAAUAUUAUUAAAUUGUAUUCAAAAACAUAUCAAAAGAUUAUACACCAUGAUAAAGUGAGUUUCAUUAAAGGGAUGUAAAGUUGGUUCAACAUACACACAUCAGUAAGUAUACUUCAUCACUUAAACAGAAUUAAGGAAAAAAAAUCACACAAUUAUCUCAACAGAUGCAGAAAAGGACUUUUAUAAAAUCUAAUUCCCAUGUUAAAAAUUCUGGAGAAGGUAGGGAUUGAAGGAAUUUACCUUAACAUUGUUAAGAUCAUUUCUGAAAAACUUGAAGCCAACAUCAUACUAAAUGGAGAAAGACUAUUUUAGAGGCAUUUCCUCUAAAAUCAGGAAAGAGACAAGGCUGUUCACUCUUGCACUCCAAUCCAAUGUAGUCCUUGAAACACCAGCCAGAGUGAUUAAGCAAGAAAAGGGAAUCAAAGGGAUAC
rnacentral:lncRNA from 1 species